rnacentral:rRNA from 1 species
ACCCGUUCCCAUACCGAACACGGAAGUUAAGCUCUCUAGCGCCGAUGGUAGUUGGGACCUUGUCCCUGUGAGAGUAGGACAUCGCCAAGC